AGUGAACGCUGGCGGUAGGCCUAACACAUGCAAGUCGAACGGCAGCACAGUAAGAGCUUGCUCUUACGGGUGGCGAGUGGCGGACGGGUGAGGAAUACAUCGGAAUCUACUUUUUCGUGGGGGAUAACGUAGGGAAACUUACGCUAAUACCGCAUACGACCUACGGGUGAAAGCAGGGGAUCUUCGGACCUUGCGCGAUUGAAUGAGCCGAUGUCGGAUUAGCUAGUUGGCGGGGUAAAGGCCCACCAAGGCGACGAUCCGUAGCUGGUCUGAGAGGAUGAUCAGCCACACUGGAACUGAGACACGGUCCAGACUCCUACGGGAGUGAGCAGUGGGCGAUGUUGGACAAUGGGCGCAAGCCUGAUCCAGCCAGACCGCGUGGGUGAAGAAGGCCUUCGGGUUGUAAAGCCCUUUUGUUGGGAAAGAAAAGCAGCAGGUUAAUACCCCGCUGUUCUGACGGUACCCAAAGAAUAAGCACCGGCUAACUUCGUG
rnacentral:rRNA from 1 species